rnacentral:rRNA from 1 species
GGCUUAACCUGAGGGGGACGCUCGAUACUUCUCCACUUGAGGAAGGGAGAGGGAGGUGGAAUUCCCGGUGUAGCGGUGAAAUGCGCAGAUAUCGGGAGGAACACCAGUGGCGAAGGCGGCCUCCUAUCCCUUUCCUGACGUUCAGGUACGAAAGCUAGGGGAGCGAACCGGAUUAGAUACCCGGGUAGUCCUAGCCGUAAACGAUGGGUGCUAGGUUUGGGGAGUUUAACUCCUCAAUGCCGAAGCUGACGCAUUAAGCACCCCGCCUGGGGAGUACGACCGCAAGUUGAAACUCAAAGGAAUUGACGGGGGCCCGCACAAGCGGUGGAGCAUGUUGUUUAAUUCGAUGCUAACCGAAGAACCUUACCAGGGCUUGGCAUGCUGGUGGAGCGAGCCGAAAGGUAGCGACCCCUUCGGGGGAGCCAGCACAGGUGCUGCACGGCUGUCGUCAGCUCGUGCCGUGAGGUGUCGGGUUAAGUCCCUCAACGAGCGCAACCCCCACCCUUAGUUGCCAUCGGGUAAAGCCGGGCACUCUAAGGGGACUGCCAGGGUCAACCUGGAGGAAGGUGGGGAUGACGUCAAGUCCGCGUGGUCCUUAUGUCCUGGGCUACAAACAUUCUACAAUGGGGUGUACAGAGGGAAGCAAUGCCGCGAGGCGGAGCUAAUCCCUAAAGCACCCCCUAGUACAGAUUGCAGGCUGCAACUC